GAGUUAUGAUGUGUAAAUCCUAUUCCAUUGCUGAAAUGCAGUGUGGAACAUGAUGAUGAACUGAACUC
ensembl:snoRNA SNORD98 small nucleolar RNA, C/D box 98